rnacentral:rRNA from 1 species
UAUCUCUGUAGAGUCUGCAUAUCAAUAAGCGGAGGAAAAGAAACUAACUAGGAUUCCCUUAGUAACGGCGAGUGAAGCGGGAAGAGCUCAAAUUUGAAAUCUUCAAGGUUUUACCUUGACGAAUUGUAGUUUAAAGAAGUGUUUUCUGUUGGUGUUUUGGUAAAAGUUCUUUGGAAUAGGACAUCAUAGAGGGUGAGAAUCCCGUAUUUGACCAUUACUUCCAGCGUUGUAGAUACACUUUCAAAGAGUCGGAUUGUUUGGGAAUGCAGUCCAAAAUGGGUGGUAAAUUUCAUCUAAAGCUAAAUAUUGGCGAGAGACCGAUAGCGAACAAGUACCGUGAGGGAAAGAUGAAAAGAACUUUGAAAAGAGAGUUAAACAGUACGUGAAAUUGUCAAAAGGGAAGCGUUUGACACCAGUGUUGUUUUCUCGAAAAUCAAUUAAAAAAAGUUGGAUUUUGUAUUGUUAAGACCUUAUCAGCUUACUGUACUCUUUUCUUGCUUUUUUUAAUGCACUUUUCGUUUAACAAGUCAACAUCAAUUUCUUUUGUUGUAAAAGAGUCAUUGGAAGGUGGCUUUCACUUCGGUGAAAGUGUUUAUAGCCUUUGGCUUCUGCAAUCGGAGAGAUUGAGGUCUGCAGCGUAGAUCCUUCGGGGCUAGAUACGUAGAUGCUAAGUUAUAGUUUUUUAUAGACAACUUGUUGACUAUAAUUAAUCAUGUAGCUUACUCGUUUGCGCUAUUUUACCUACGCUUAGGAUGUUGAUAUGCAUGACUGAUAU